rnacentral:rRNA from 1 species
ACUCAAAGGAAUUGACGGGGGCCCGCACAAGCAGCGGAGUGUGUGGUUUAAUUCGAUGCAACGCGAAGAACCUUACCUGGGCUUGACAUGGCGCUUACAGCGGGGUAAUGCCCGCGCCGGGCAACCGGGUGCGCCACAGGUGUUGCAUGGCUGUCGUCAGCUCGUGCCGUGAGGUGUUGGGUUAAGUCCCCUAACGAGCGCAACCCCCGGGGUCCGUUGAACGUUUCGGGCCCGACUGCCCUGCAAACAGGGAGGAAGGUGGGGAUGACGUCAAGUCAGCACGGCCCUGACGUCCAGGGCGACACACACACUACAAUGGCCGGGACAAUGGGACGCCAAGUCGCGAGACGGAGCCAAUCCCCUCAAACCCGGUCUCAGUUCGGAUUGCAGGCUGCAACUCGCCUGCAUGAAGUCGGAGUUGCUAGUAACCGUGGGUCAGCAUACCACGGUGAAUACGUUCCCGGGCCUUGUACACACCGCCCGU